GACCAAUGAAAGCGAUGAUGCUUACGCGCUCAUCGUUUUUACCUCCCUGUUGGACUUCGCCGGGCCCUGUGCCCGGCAUUUUUU
rnacentral:ncRNA from 1 species